UGCCUGGAUUUCCAUUUGUGCUAGUGUUUAUUGUCUUCUCUUGGUUCAAAUAGUGUGGAAAGUUUCAACUUGGGUAUUUCUUCCGCUGUUACCUCAUCGUGCAAUUGGGUUAUUACUUUUUUCUUCCCAACAAAAAGAGCCUGAAAAGAGAAAGAAGACUAACUGGAAUGAAUUUAAGCAUCCACCACCCUUCCCACAAAGACUUGUUCCAGUGCCAGAACCAAAUAGUGAGGAGAAAAUUGUAGAAGAGGUUGUUAAGCUGCCAAAGCUUGUGAUAGAGAGGCCUCCAACACCUUCCCCACAGAGAUUGUAAAAGACCAGGGAUGAUUUUAACUUUAAAAAAUUUCUCUAUAUUUUCAAGCAGCUGCACAUAAAUAUCCCUUUGAUUGUUGUUUUGCAAGAGAUGCCAAAGUAUGCUAAGUAUCUCAAAGAAGUAGUGGAAAGCAAGAGGUACAUGGUGGAGUUAAGAUUGUUGCACUUACUGAGGAAUGCAACUCGAGGAUUCAAAGUAAACUUCCUCAAAAGCUGAAAGAUCCUAGAAGUUUCACUAUUCCUAUGAAGAUUGGUGAGAAUGAGGUAGGUCGUGCCUUGUGUGAUUUAGGGGCAAGCAUCAAUUUAAUGCCCUUAUUUGGAUUCAAGAAACUUGAUUUGGGAUACCCACGACUACUACCAUCACAUUACAAUUGGUGGAUGGGUCAUUUGCUAGUCCUAAAGAUUUUGAGGCGGACUCAAAAGUGCCUAUUAUAUUGGGGCGUCCUUUCUUGGCAUCGGGUGGAGCAGGGAUAGACCUUCGAGAAGGUAAGCUAAAGAUGAGAGUGCAUGAUGAGGAAAUUACUUUCAAUGUGUAUAAGGCUUUGAAACUUCCUAGUCAUUAUGAAGAACUUGCCAUGAUUUCUGUGGUGAACAUAGAUAGGAGACGCAUUGCAUGUGUGAGCAUAGUUUUCCUCCAUGUCCUGUUGAAUUUGCUUGGUGGAAUUCCUAACAGAUUAUGCAUAGCCACGUAUAUCAAUUGGUGCAUGUCUAGUUAUGUCUGCAAAAUCUAGAUGGAUUUAAUCCAAAAACCUGCAGCCUUUAAGAUAUAGUCGUUCAAAGUACUAAAAGUGAUCACUACUAGCUCUCCAGUACCGAAUGCCUAAACCUUCAAGAACUUCAAGCGAGGAAAUCAUCCUCAACUACUUCUCACACGCCUACGCAGGCAUGAGUUUCUAGUUUAAGAGCCUCAAGUUUGAGAAACUUACCAAGAAUGCUCUAAUCCUUCCAAAAGGCAGAAAUCUUCACUCAAAACUAGUCAGAAAAGCAUCUGGAGUAGGAAUGAGCAAAGGAGGCAAGGCAUCUGUAGCUGCUUAUCUUUGCUCCAAAACCUCUGAAGGUCUUGUGGAGUAGCACCUGAAUAUAAUGCUCGACAUCGUUGUAUGAUAUGCUUCCCAAGUUCUUUGAGUUGAGGAGGGCAUAGGUCUUCUCUCAAAAGUUUUCGGUUAAUAGAUUCCGACUGGGCUUGCAUAAUCAGCUACAUAGUUGAGGAGAACUUGCGGAGCACAUAGACAUAGAUAAGCAAAUUCAACGCGUUGUAGCUAUAUACAACUUCCACAAACCAAAUUCUGGUCAGGUCGAAAGAGUUUUUGCAUAAGUGAAGAUAUAGCAGCAUAAGCCAUUCCUCUGAGAUUUAACAGGUUGGUGUCGUAUACAGCUUCCACAAACCGGGCGACUCAAUAUUAUUGGUGGCCUAAAGCCAAGCUCAGUGAGAGGCCUUAAUUUAUUAUUUAAAAAAAAUUCAUAUAUAUGUUUUAUCUGAAAUCUAUUUUCCUAGCUUUUUUAGAUGCAAAGUUAUGAAUAAUAAUUUUAUUGUCCGAAACCUAUUUUUCUAGAUUUUACUACAAAAUUUUCUCUCA